rnacentral:tRNA from 1 species
UCCCUGGUGGCUCAAAUAGUAAAGCAUCUGCCUGCAGUGCAGGACACUCAGGUUCGAUCCCUGGGUUGGGAA